AGCAGCAGCCACGGUAAUACGGAGGGUGCAAGCGUUAAUCGGAAUUACUGGGCGUAAAGCGUGCGUAGGCGGUUCGUUAAGUCUGUUGUGAAAGCCCCGGGCUCAACCUGGGAAUGGCAAUGGAUACUGGCGAGCUAGAGUGUGUCAGAGGAUGGUGGAAUUCCCGGUGUAGUGGUGAAAUGCGUAGAGAUCGGGAGGAACAUCAGUGGCGAAGGCGGCCAUCUGGGACAACACUGACGCUGAGGCACGAAAGCGUGGGGAGCAAACAGGAUUAGAGACCCCGGUAGUCCCUGUCUCUUAUAC
rnacentral:rRNA from 1 species